rnacentral:lncRNA from 1 species
GCAAAUCUCUAUAGUCUUCCCUUUUUUGGGGAAGGAGCUGGGUCAACCUUUGUGGAGUCAAGAUGAAUCAAAUACAGUCCCAGCCCCUAAGAAGUAUUGGAUCCAGCAGAGGAGGUGAGAUGACCACAGCCAUAAUUUAAGGCAGAAGAAGAAGAAGACAAAGAAGCCGAAGGAGCCACAGCCGGAACAGCCACAGCCAAGUACAAGUGCAAAUUAACUGGUCAAGUGUGUCAGUGACUGCACAUUGGUUUCUGUUCUCUGGCUAUUUGCAAAACCUCUCCCACCCUUGUGUUUCACUCCACCACCAACCCCAGGUAAAAAAGUCUCCCUCUCUUCCACUCACACCCAUAGCGGGAGAGACCUCAUGCAGAUUUGCAUUGUUUUGGAGUAAGAAUUCAAUGCAGCAGCUUAAUUUUUCUGUAUUGCAGUGUUUAUAGGCUUCUUGUGUGUUAAACUUGAUUUCAUAAAUUAAAAACAAUGGUCAGA